UUGAAACUAGUCUUACAAGACUAAAAUAAAAGUGGUGGCAGGAAGUCAGAGCAUCCUGCACAUGUGGACUGAUACCUCAUUCUCUGUGGAUCCUUAUCAUUUGAGGAUGUGACUGUAGGCUUCACCCAGGAGGAGUGGCAGCAUCUAGACCUUGCUCAGAGGACCUUAUACAGGGAUGUGAUGCUGGAGAAUUAUAGUCACCUCAUCUCAGUGGGGUACUGCAUUCCUAAACCAGAAGUCAUCUUCAAGUUGGAACGAGGAGAACAGCCAUGGGUAUUAGAGAAAGAGCUCUUAGGCCGUAGUUACCCAGGUGAGUUAGCAUGUAUUAAGCAGAUGGACACCAGAUGGCAUGGUAUGAAUUAUUUUUAUUCUCAAAUGUUUGCUCACAUGUUCACUUUUUUCAUCUAUCAAAUAUUGAGUUGCUACUCAAGUUUUAGGUGCUGGUAAUAAAGCAGUGAACUAAAUUUCUUCCCUGACCUCAUGGAUCUUACAUUCUGAUAGAGGAAGAUAAGAAACAAGAAAUGGCAACAGCACACACAUAUAUGCAUAUAAUAAUAUGUCAAGUGGUCAUAUAAAAUAGCAAGAAAAUUAAAGAAGGCUAGGAAAGAUAGACUGUUAUACUUUAGAAGGGAGGAACAGGAAAGGCUUUUGGAUUAUAUGAA